GUGGUUUUAUACUUUAGAGCGUUUGACUGCAGAUCAGAUAGGAUUAAAUGGCCGGGAGUUCGAAUUAAUC
rnacentral:tRNA from 9 species